rnacentral:misc_RNA from 1 species
AAGUCGUAACAAGGUUUCCGUAGGUGAACCUGCGGAAGGAUCAUUAUGAAUUUGGAACUUGUGUGGCUUGUUUCAUUUAUUUGAACGCCCGCAAUUCUUUUUCUGUGAACUGGCGCGUUUUCAGUCGCGUUUAUCAAUUCACGUUGAUAAAUGUGGUUGAGCUCGCUCUUUUUUUUGUUUUCUUGUAUUAUUCCACUCUUUUUUUGAGUAAUUCUUGCAAAAGAAUGAAAAAAAAACAUAAACCAAGACAACUUUCAGCAAUGGAUCUCUUGGCUCUU